GCAUGGCCACAGUCAAAAAGACACUGACUCCUUUGUUCCUUAAAUUAUUCAUGAAACGGUACGAAUGUAGCCAGUCAGCAGAGCCAUCUAUUGGAGAAUUGAUGAAAUACAAUCGUUUAAAGGGAAAUAACCUCUUCAACACUUGAACCACGAAGCAUC